CCUUCAUGAUGAAAUUUCCACCAUAAUUCGCAGUUUCCACGGAAGCCGUCAUCGAGCCUUUUGACGUGCGAUGAGCGAUUAUAAUUAUAUGCCUGUCCUUGGAUGUCUGAAUUU
rnacentral:snoRNA from 1 species